rnacentral:rRNA from 1 species
AUACCGGCGGCUCGAGUGGUGGCCACUUUUAUUGGGCUUAAAGCGUCCGUAGCCGGCUUAGCAAGUUUCCUGUUAAACCCAGCGACUCAAUCGUUGGAUCGCGGGAAAUACUACUAGGCUAGGAGGCGGGAGAGGUCAACGGUACUUCUGGGGUAGGGGUGAAAUCCUAUAAUCCCGGGAGGACCACCAGUGGCGAAGGCUGUUGACUAGAACGCGCUCGACGGUGAGGGACGAAAGCUGGGGGAGCGAACCGGAUUAGAUACCCGGGUAGUCCCAGCUGUAAACUAUGCGAGCUAGGUGUUGAGAUGGCUACGGGCCAUUUCAGUGCCGCAGGGAAGCCAUUAAGCUCGCCGCCUGGGGAGUACGGCCGCAAGGCUGAA